AAUUCAUUGCCGAUCCGUCCUUUCUAAACGAAAGCAUGAAACGGCGGACGUGGCCGAAAUAUCACCGGCUUAUGCCGACGGCCUGAGGGUAAAGUUGGAAACGGCUUUGCCUUCCGUGUUUGAAAAGGAGAAUGG
rnacentral:ncRNA from 1 species